rnacentral:lncRNA from 1 species
AAGGUCAAAAAUCUAGGCAAUAUACAUUAUUUUCUAGACCAGUUAGCUCUCCCCUGGAUUCCUAUUCCAAGCUUGACAUUGAUGAUGGAUGACCUUUGGAAAAUCCCACAGUCUUUCGUCAUUUGGUUCGAAAGUUGAAUUACUUGACCAAUACUCUACCAGGCCUUUCGUUUGCAGUUCUUUCUCUCAGUCAGUACAUGCAGAGGCCCUAUAUUUCUCUUUUCAAUGUGCAUUGAGAGUUUUGAAGUAUUUGAGUGUAGAUUCGGUUAGAGUAUUCUUCUUUCAGUUGCACCAUCCUUAUCUCUGCUUGCAUUCUGCGAUGCAGAUUAGGCUUCUUGUAAGGAAUCCAGAAGAUCUGUCAGUGGAUAUUUCAUCACACUUGGAGAAGCACCUAUUUCCUGGAAGUCAAAGAAACAAGUAUCAAUAGCUUUGUCAUCACCAAAGGCGAAAUACAGAUCUACGAGACGAGUUAUAAUAGAACUUACUUGGCUUGUUCGACUCCUUGAAGAUCUUUUUGCACCAGUGGCUCUUCCCAUUCCACUUCAUUCUGAUUGCAAAGCAGCUAUCCAUAUCACUCUUAAUCCUAUUUUUUCAUGAACGAAUAAAAAAUGUGGAGAUCGAUUGUUAUUUUGUCCGUCAACAAUUGCUCUCUGGGCUAAUCAGUAUGUCUUUUGUUCCUUCUAAAGAACAAUUGUCGGAUCUCUUCACUAAGCCACUUUCAGGGGUUUCUCAUUCACAUAUUUUGAGCAAGUUAGGGAUCACAAGGUUACCCUCUAACUUGAGGGGGGGAUGUUGAGAAGAAGAAACCCCAUCCUAAUUAUAUGAUUCAUGGAGCUAUCGAGGAGAAAAAAGAAGAAACGAAGGACAUGAAGAAGAAGAAGAAAGUAG